AUUUCUCCAACUAAUACUUAGACAUUAUUAUUUAAUCUGUAGGACUCAAAAAUUCCAUUAGAAUACGUAUGAUUUGCCAAUGUUACUUCUAAUCUUUAAUAUAUAUUUUUCAUAAAACUUUUUCCACCUACCCAUCAAACACCAGAAAAUAACAAGGGUAAUUAACCGAAAUGGACAAAUAUACAUCUACGAUUUCAAAUUUCUCCCUCUACAAAGUGGACAAACGUCAACGUUGGCGUAAAUGGAAUAUUACAUAUUUGUAAAAGAAGAGUAGAAGACAGUUUGUGCACCUAUCAUAUCACGCGCUCUAUCUUUUCGCAGAAAAGGUUGUUCCUUUAAACAUCUUAUUUCGUAUAUUUUUAAUAAGCAAAGAUACCUUUUAAUUUUAAGCAUUGAAACUGCAAAUUAUUCUCCGGCUGCUGCCAGUUAUUCCACCUAACUCUAAGCGUAUCUACUGAUCUUAUUCCUAUCCUAACAACCUCGCCGUUUUCUGGUCUAGGGGGUAUUCAACCAAACUAGUUAAUCUCCAUAGAAAAUGCAGAUACAAAACAGAGGUGAUCAUGUCACCCAUGUCAUGUUUAGCUAAAAAGCUGAGUACCUAAAACAAAGACUGAAAAAAAAAGGCCCGACUUCGUGAUCCCAACAGAACAUAGCUGUAGAAGUGCGAGAAUGGGAAUCAAACAAGUUGUCGCCUUCAUGUUUAGCUAGAAAAUGAGAACAGAGAAAAUGGGAGGAAGUGUUCAUCCUUUUUCUCCUUCUACCUUAUUUUGCAGAUUCGUUUGCUUCCGUAGUUGUACUUUUACUUUCUAUCGGGCACUGGGAUACAUAAGGUUUCAGCUGAAAAAGAAAUUCAUCAAUUGCAAAGUGUUACAAACUUCACACAAAAUGAGCAAACACAAAGGUCACAAGUUUCAUAAACAUUUUCUACGAUCUAGAAAGAGAGACUAGUUUCUUUUACCUAGACUAUAGACUAUGUACAUAAUGCAGUUAUGUAAAUUCAUUAAUAAUUUCAAGAGAAGCUGAGACGGGGGAUCACUACCUUUGAAGAGGAUAGGAAAGCAGCGGCAACACAGAAUACAAGAAAGUAAAAUCUGAUUAAUGAAAAUUAAGCUCAUUUUCGGUCAUGUUUGAAAAGUCCAUGCCCUAAUCCAUGAGCUAGGAAAGUGUUAGGUCUAACCUACCUCAAGCACUACCUGUUUCAAGAUAUUAAAAGGCCUUGAAAAGAUUAAUAUAAUGGAAUAAUCCAAAGAAUGUUUUCAUUUUAGAUAACUUUUUGUAUCAAAAGCAAGUGGUGAUCUAAGCAAGUGCUGGGCCCAAACAGAAAGCAUAAGCAACAACGUGUUUCCUAGAAAGGGACUGAAAGUUAAAUAGCAC
rnacentral:lncRNA from 1 species